rnacentral:rRNA from 1 species
CAAUAGCGUAUAUUAAAGUUGUUGCGUAAAAGACUCGUAGUUGGAUUUCUUGUUGAGGGCGACCGGUACGCACUUUCGUGCGUUAUCUGGCUCGGUCUUGGCAUCCUCUUGGGGAACGACUCCAUGCUUAAUUGCACGGAUCGGGAUUCAAGACUUUUAACUUUGAGGAAAUUAGUAGUGUUACACGGCAAGCAAGUGCUUUGAAUACAUUAGCAUGGAAUAAUAAUAUAGGACCUUUGUUCUAUUUUGUUGGUUUCUAGAACUAAGGUAAUGAUUAAUAAGGGACAAUUGGGGCAUUCGUAUUAACGCGUCAGAGGUGGAAUUCUUGGAUUGCGUUACGACGAACUACUGCGAAAGCAUUUGCCUAAGGAUGUUUUCAUUUGAUCAAGAACGAAAGUUAGGGAUCGAAGACGAUCAGAUACCAU